rnacentral:rRNA from 1 species
AUGACGCCGGAGGUGAAGGUGCCGCUGCUGGAGGGGCGGGGCGCCACGCCCGCACAGACGCUGGGGAACAUCGUCGUGUCCAUCGUCGGCACCGGCGUGCUCGGCCUGCCCUUCGCCUUCCGCACCGCCGGGUGGCUCGCCGGCGCCCUCGGCGUCGCCGGCGCCGGCGCCGCCACCUUCUACUGCAUGCUCCUCCUGCUGGAUUGCAGGGACAAGCUGCGGGAGCAAGAAACAGAGGAGGACGGACUCGGAGUUGAGCAGCGCUGCCAUGGCGGCAACUACACCUACGGGGAUCUGGGCGAGCGAGGCUUCGGCCCCAUCGGUAGGUACUUCACGGAGGCCAUCAUCAUCAUCGGCCAGACCGGCGGCAGCGUGGCCUACCUCGUCUUCAUCGGCCAGAACCUCAGCUCCGUGCUCCCCGCGCUCUCGCCGCCCGCGGUCGUCCUGGCGCUCCUGCUGCCGGCCGAGAUCGCGCUCUCGUUCGUCCGCUCCCUCUCCGCGCUGGCGCCCUUCAGCAUCCUCGCCGACGCCUGCACCGUGCUGGCCGUGGCCGCCGUCGUCAAGGAGGACGUCCAGCUCCUGGCCGAGCGCGGGCGCCCGUUCGCCGGCCGGAGCGCGUUCGCUGGGCUCUGGGGCGUGCCGUUCGCCUGCGGCGUCGCCGUGUUCUGCUUCGAGGGGUUCUGCCUCACGCUGGCGCUGGAGGCGUCCAUGUCGAACCGGGGCAGGUUCCGGCCGGUGCUCUUCCAGGCCAUCGUCGGGGUCACUGUCGUCUACGUCGGCUUCGGCGUCUGCGGCUACCUCGCCUACGGCGACGCCACCCGGGACAUCGUCACCCUCAACCUCCCGGACAACUGGUCCACCGCCGCCGUGAAGGUGGUGCUGUGCGUCGGGCUGGCGCUGACGUUCGCGGUGAUGAUGUACCCGAUCCACGAGAUCGUGGAGGCGCGGCUGCUGGCGCCGGGCGGGUGGGUGCGGAGGCGCUGCGGCGGCGUGGUCCAGCGGGCGGCGCUGCACCUGAGCCGCGUGGCGGUGGUGGCGGCGCUGGCCGCGAUAGCGUGCUUCGUGCCGGCGUUCGGGGACUUCGUCGCGUUCGUGGGGAGCACGGUGUGCGCGCUGCUCUCCUUCGUGCUGCCGGCGCUCUUCCACCUCCGCUUCGUGGGGCCGACGGCGAGCCCGUGGGCGCUGGCGGUGGACUACUUUUUGUUGCUCGCCGGUCUGGUGUUUGCUGGCCACGGGAUGUAUACGGUGUUGGCACCGAGUGACAGUUAG